rnacentral:rRNA from 1 species
UACGUAGGGUGUGAGCGUUGUCCGGAAUUAUUGGGCGUAAAGAGCUCGUAGGCGGUCUGUCGCGUCGGUCGUGAAAACUUGGGGCUUAACCCUGAGCUUGCGGUCGAUACGGGCAUGACUGGAGUUCGGUAGGGGAGACUGGAAUUCCUGGUGUAGCGGUGAAAUGCGCAGAUAUCAGGAGGAACACCGGUGGCGAAGGCGGGUCUCUGGGCCGAUACUGACGCUGAGGAGCGAAAGCGUGGGGAGCGAACAGG